GAUGAACGCUGGCGGCGUGCCUAAUACAUGCAAGUCGAGCGAACAGACGAGGAGCUUGCUCCUUCGACGUUAGCGGCGGACGGGUGAGUAACACGUAGGUAACCUACCUAUAAGACUGGGAUAACUUCGGGAAACCGGAGCUAAUACCGGAUAAUAUUUCGAACCGCAUGGUUCGAUAGUGAAAGAUGGCUUUGCUAUCACUUAUAGAUGGACCUGCGUCGUAUUAGCUAGUUGGUAAGGUAACGGCUUACCGAGGCAACGAUACGUAGCCGACCUGAGAGGGUGAUCGGCCACACUGGAACUGAGACACGGUCCAGACUCCUACGGGAGGCAGCAGUAGGGAAUCUCCCGCAAUGGGCGAAAGCCUGACGGAGCAACGCCGCGUGAGUGAUGAAGGUCUUCGGAUCGUAAAACUCUGUUAUUAGGGAAGAACAAACGUGUAAGUAACUGUGCACGUCUUGACGGUACCUAAUCAGAAAGCCACGGCUAACUACGUG
rnacentral:rRNA from 1 species